AUACGAACGAGACUCUAUCCUACUAAGCGGCACGAGGCUAUUAGACGGCUGGAUCUUACAGACACGCGUGUAAAAACAGACAGGGAAGGUCAACGCUCUCUCUCCUUCACGGGAGAGAGGGCUGCUUCCUUUCGGGCACGCAAGCGAGUCCGCCGUGGCUACGCGUAUGUUUUCGCGUGCCUUUCGUGCUCCUGGUGCGGUACCCCGUGUGUGUUUGCGGGAAAUAUAUGCUCGCGCUCGGUUGCGGUGUGCUUUUGUAUGCUGUGCCAGUGUGUGUGUGUGUUUUCUCGUUGCGCAUGCGAGUGUUCUCCGUGCUACGGCUGUGCGAUUGCGUUUCGCGUCUUCUUGCGCGUAGACAAACGUUGUUUCUUCUUAGAGGUAUUGACGACUCUACGUAAGUCGUACGAGAGAGAGAGCAAUAACAGGUCUGUGAUGCCCUUAGAUGCCCUGGGCCGCACGCGAGCUACAAUGCCGGGUACAGCGGGUUUAACUUCCUUCGCCGAAAGGUGCGGGUAACCCUCUGAAAUCCCUUCCGAUGACGCGUAAGAUAUACACGCGAGUGUUAAUCUCUCUUGCGCGUCUCUCGGCUCGAUUGGGCCUGGGGCUUGCAAUUGUCUCCCACAAACGAGGAAUGCCUUGUAUUGGCUAGUCACGGAACUUGCAGCGACUCAGUCCCUGCCCUUUGUACACACCGCCCGUCGCUACUACCGAUUGAGUGUACCAGUGAGAUUCUUGGACUGGCGAACCGUCUCUCGUGUGUCGCGUUACAUGCGCGAUGCGCCGACGGCGAACGACGGGAAGAGACCCGAACUGGUGCACUUAGAGGAAGUAAAA
rnacentral:rRNA from 1 species